CCUCCGGGGCGACACAUCCCCCCUAGGGCGAGUCGGGGCGCGGGGUGCGGGUCCCCUCGCCGUGGCCCGCGGGCAGGCGGCUCCUUGGUGCGGCAGCGACUGGUACCCGCAACUCUCGCACGGUGACUAAAGCUGUCCUGCCAGAAACUUGCCGCCGGGCCCGUGGGCCCAAUGGGAGGGGAGGCCCUCCUGUCAUCUUCAUAUUUUUGGAUGGGGAAACAGCCCAGAGAAGUGCCUGGAUCACCCUACUCCUAAGGAGGCCAGCUGCUGGACUCCUACUCCAGUGCUCCUGGACCACAAGGGUGGUGGCCUCCCUCCCAGCCAAGCCCCUCCUUACCAAAGCAAAAUAAUUGGACGAAGAAAUAGAGUUGGUUAAAAGCAAACGUUUUUAUAUUAUACAUACACACGCAUGCUGAAUUCAGGACAACCGUGCCAGGUGUGGGCUGGUGAUAGCUGCUGCCACCCCACGGAGGCUGCCCCUCCCCUCGAGCGUCCUGGUGAGCUGUGUCCCAGUCCAGACCACUCUGGGGCUUGGGGCAAACCUGGAGGAGCCCGUCAGACAUGUAGGCUUCACCCCAGCCCUGCUUGCAGGCUUGCCGCCUAAGGGCAGCCUUACUUGACUGCAGGGCUGCACCCCAGGGGGAUGGGAGUGGAGGGGAGCUGCCCUGGGGUCAAGGCUGCAUGCAGGGUUAUGUUUGCCGAAGGGCCCGGGAUGGUGACGCACGGAGGCAUGAGAUGACAUUGUUUGCGAGGACAGGUGGUGUGGGUAAGGGCCACUAGGACCGUGGGGGUUGGGCCGGCUCCUCCCUGUCCCCCAUCCCUGGGAGUCACUGGCCCAAAUGCUGCUGUCAACGACCGCACCCCUCAGUAGGGGUAGGGCGACACGUUGAUGAGCAGGACGAAGACGUUUUGGUGGCGCGGCGCUGCGGCGCGCACGGUGAGCCGGUAGAGGCCGGAGCGGGAAGUUCCCAGUGGGAACAAGGCAUUGGAAACCUCCAGAAUAGGCCGUCUCCCAAGGGGUGAACCUGGCUACUGGCUGUACAUGGAGGCUGUGCAGAAUGCGUAAGUGAUGGUGCUGCACCAGCUGUGGCUGGGGGCCCUGGGCCACGUCGUACUGGAUGCUGUGGUUGCAGAGCAGCAGCCCAGGGAGGCUGUCUUGCAGGAAGUGCUGUGUGGAGCCUACAAAGAGCCGGCCGGGCCCCACCUGCACAUAUUGCUCCUGGAAGUCCUGGAGGAGGAGGAGGAGGAGAAGGAAAAUGUCUGGGAUUUCAACUUCCAAAGGAGGUCUGUGUCAGCCAGGCUCUUGGGGACGACGCCACUGACCACCACAUCGAGGAGCAGAAAGCCGUCGGGAUCCAGGCCCCGGGCCACCUGCGUCAUCCUGAGCAGCUCCCCUGCAAUCCAUGCCCGCCCAGCCUGG